AUUUAACGCUGGCGGCAGGCCUAACACAUGCAAGUCGAACGAGUGGCGGACGGGUGAGUAAUGUCUGGAAAACUGCCCGAUGGAGGGGGAUAACUACUGUAAACGGUAGCUAAUACCGCAUCCCAUCGGAUGUGCCCAGAUGGGAUUUGCUAGUAGGUGGGUUAACGGCUCACCUAGGCGACGAUCCCUCGCUGGUCUGAGAGGAUGAACAGCCACCAUGUAACUGAGACACGGUCCAGCCUCCUACUGUAGGCAGAAGUGGGGAAUAUUGCACAAUGGGCGAAAGCCUGAUGCAGCCAUGCCGCGUGUAUGAAGAAGGCCUUAGGGUUGUAAAGUACUUUCAGCGAGGAGGCGUUACUCGCAGAAGAAGCACCGGCUAACUCCGUGCCAGCAGCCGCGGUAAUAC
rnacentral:rRNA from 1 species